UUUGAGCCAAGUUAUGGCGGUUUUAAGUUGGUGGCCUAGGAAUUCAAAAAUUUGGAAUUCUAGGCCACCAGUUAGAUAUU
ensembl:ncRNA M70.9 ncRNA